rnacentral:rRNA from 1 species
GCCUAAGGAUGAGUUCGGCGCGGAUUAGGGUUGUUGGUGGGGUACCGGCCCAACCCAGCCCAAGAUCCGUACGGGCCUUUGAGAGAGGGGACCCGGAGAAGACACUGAGACACCUGGGUCCUAGCCCUUACGGGGGUGCAGCAGGCGCGAAACCUUACAAUGCACGAAAGUGUGAUAAGGGAAUUCAAAGUGCUUAUGCAUUAGCAUAGGCUUUUGCCAAAAGUAAAUUUUUUGGCGAAUAAGUGGUGGGCAAGACUGGUGCCAGCCGCCGCGGUAACACCAGCGCCACGAGUGGCAAUCAUGAUUAUUGGGCCUAAAGCGUUCGUAGCCGGUUUAGUAAAUUUUCUGUGAAAUCGUAUUGCUUAACUUUACAACGUGCAGAGAAGACUGUCAAACUAGAGACCGGGAGGAGCUUGGAGUAUUCUUGGGGGAGCGGUAAAAUGUUAUAAUCCCUUGAAGACUACCUGUGGCGAAGGCGCCAAGCUAGAACGGUUCUGACGGUGAGGGACGAAAGCCAGGGGAGCGAUCCGGAUUAGAUACCCGUGUAGUCCUGGCCGUAAACGCUGCGAGUUAGGUGUUGCAUAUACCUCGAGUAUGUGCAGUAUCGAAGAGAAGUCGUUAAACUCGCCGCCUGGGAAGUACGGUCGCAAGACUGAAACUUAAAGGAAUUGGCGGGGGAGCACCACAAGGGGUGCGGCGUGCGGUUUAAUCUAACUCAACGCAGAGAAUCUCACCAGAGGCGACGGCAAGAUGAAGGUCAGUCUGAAGGGCUUACCCGAUGAGCCGAGAGGUGGUGCAUGGCCGCCGUCAGCUCGUGCCGUAAGGUGUCCUGUUAAGUCAGGCAACGAGCGAGACCUGCAUCCACAAUUGCCAGCGACAUCUUCGAUCGAGCACAAUGUAGGGACUGCCUUGGAAACAAGGAGGAAGGUGCAGGCUACGGUAGGUCUGUAUGCCCCGAAUCUUCUGGGCUACACGCGCGCAACAAUGGUAAGGACAAUGGGACGCAACUCCGAAAGGAGAAGCUAAACCUCUAAACCCUAUCCUAGUCUAGAUUGUGGGUUGUAACUCACCCACAUGACGCUGGAAUCCCUAGUAAUCGGAAGUCAUCAUCUUCCGGUGAAUAUGUCCCUGCUCCUUGCACACACCGCCCGUCAAACCACUCGAGCAUGGUUUAGGUGAGGGUUAGUCUUCUUGAUUGAUUCGAAU